CCCUUAGAUGUUCUGGGCCGCACGCGUGCUACACUGAGUGGAUCAGCGGGUCAGGUUGCGCGAAAGCGUUUCCUAAUCUUUAAAUCCGCUCGUGAUGGGGAUUGACGGUUGCAAUUUUCUGUCAUGAACGAGGAAUACCUUGUAAGCGCGGGUCAUCAUCCCGCGCUGAAUACGUCCCUGCCCUUUGUACACACCGCCCGUCGCUCCUACCGAUUGAGUGGUCCGGUGAGGCUUUGGGAUCUGAGCGGAAAGAGCGUUUAGCUGUUUCUGCUCGGAAAACUCAGUCGAACCUUAUCAUUUAGAGGAAGGAGAAGUCGUAACA
rnacentral:rRNA from 1 species